rnacentral:rRNA from 1 species
AUUGAACGCUGGCGGCAGGCCUAACACAUGCAAGUCGAACGGUAACAGGAAGCAGCUUGCUGCUUCGCUGACGAGUGGCGGACGGGUGAGUAAUGUCUGGGAAACUGCCUGAUGGAGGGGGAUAACUACUGGAAACGGUAGCUAAUACCGCAUAACGUCGCAAGACCAAAGAGGGGGACCUUCGGGCCUCUUGCCAUCGGAUGUGCCCAGAUGGGAUUAGCUAGUAGGUGGGGUAACGGCUCACCUAGGCGACGAUCCCUAGCUGGUCUGAGAGGAUGACCAGCCACACUGGAACUGAGACACGGUCCAGACUCCUACGGGAGGCAGCAGUGGGGAAUAUUGCACAAUGGGCGCAAGCCUGAUGCAGCCAUGCCGCGUGUAUGAAGAGGGCCUUCGGGUUGUAAAGUACUUUCAGCGGGGAGGAAGGCGACGGGGUUAAUAACCGCGUCGAUUGACGUUACCCGCAGAAGAAGCACCGGCUAACUCCGUGCCAGCAGCCGCGGUAAUACGGAGGGUGCAAGCGUUAAUCGGAAUUACUGGGCGUAAAGCGCACGCAGGCGGUUUGUUAAGUCAGAUGUGAAAUCCCCGGGCUCAACCUGGGAACUGCAUCUGAUACUGGCAAGCUUGAGUCUCGUAGAGGGGGGUAGAAUUCCAGGU